rnacentral:rRNA from 1 species
ACGUACGCUGGCGGCACGCCUAACACAUGCAAGUCGAACGAAGUAGCAAUACUUAGUGGCGAACGGGUGAGUAUAAUGUGGGUAUCUGCCUUUUGGUUUGGAAUAACACGGGGAAACUUGUGCUAAUACCGGAUAAGCCUUUACAGGGAAAGUUUUAACGCCAAAAGAUGAGCCUGCACUUGAUUAGUUUGUUGGUAGGGUAAUGGCCUACCAAGACUAUGAUCAAUAGCUGAUUUGAGAGGAUGAUCAGCCACAUUGGGACUGAGACACGGCCCAAACUCCUACGGGAGGCAGCAGUGGGGAAUCUUGC